rnacentral:rRNA from 1 species
AGCGCAGGCGGUGCGGCAAGUCUGAUGUGAAAGCCCGGGGCUCAACCCCGGCACUGCAUUGGAAACUGUCGUACUAGAGUGUCGGAGGGGUAAGUGGAAUUCCUAGUGUAGCGGUGAAAUGCGUAGAUAUUAGGAGGAACACCAGUGGCGAAGGCGGCUUACUGGACGAUAACUGACGCUGAGGCUCGAAAGCGUGGGGAGCAAACA